rnacentral:rRNA from 1 species
AUUGAACGCUGGCGGCAGGCCUAACACAUGCAAGUCGAGCGGUAGAGAGAAGCUUGCUUCUCUUGAGAGCGGCGGACGGGUGAGUAAUGCCUAGGAAUCGGCCUGGUAGUGGGGGAUAACGUUCGGAAACGGACGCUAAUACCGCAUACGUCCUACGGGAGAAAGCAGGGGACCUUCGGUCCUUGCGCUAUCAGAUGAGCCUAGGUCGGAUUAGCUAGUUGGUGGGGUAAUGGCUCACAAAGGCGACGAUCCGUAACUGGUCUGAGAGGAUGAUCAGUCACACGGAAACUGAGACACGUCCAAGACCCCUACGGGGGACAGCAGUGGGAAAUAUUGGACAAGGGGCGAAGGCCUGCUCCAGCCAGGCCGCGGGUGUAAAAAGGGUCUUGGGAUUGUAAAGCACUUUAGGUUGGAGGAAGGGCAGUAAAUUAAUACUUUGCUGUUUUGACGUUACCGACAGAAUAAGCACCGGCUAACUCUGUG